rnacentral:rRNA from 1 species
AAUAUUGGACAAUGGGGGCAACCCUGAUCCAGCCAUUCCGCGUGUGCGAAGAAGGUCUUCUGAUUGUUUAGCACCUUAAGUUGGGAGGAAGGGCUUUAGGUUAAUACCCUUAAGUUUUGUCGUUACCCACAGAAUAAGCACCGGCUAACUCUGUGCCAGCAGCCGCGGUAAUACAGUGGGUGCAAGCGUUAAUCGGAAUUACUGGGCGUAAAGCGCGCGUAGGUGGUUCAGUAAGAUGGGUGUGAAAUCCCCGGGCUUAACCUGGGAACUGCUUUCAUAACUGCUGAGCUAGAGUACGGUAGAGGGUAGUGGAAUUUCCUGUGUAGCGGUGAAAUGCGUAGAUAUAGGAAGGAACACCAGUGGCGAAGGCGACUACCUGGACUGAUACUGACACUGAGGUGCGAAAGCGUGGGGAGCAAAC